rnacentral:misc_RNA from 1 species
AUAUUGCCCCCCUCCUCUCAGGUGCCACGCCCGGUAGCUUGGGGUCUAUAAAAACGCGUCCUUCCAAAUAUUCCAUAAUGUAAAAUGCAGUUCCAAUCACUUUUGGAUCCGUACACAAACAGAAUACUUUAGGAACCGGAACUUGUGUGUGUUCACCCAGCGCCCGCAGAACCAGAUACUCUCUGUCGACGGCAUGAGCUGACUGGAGCAAUUUG